rnacentral:lncRNA from 1 species
CGAAAGCGCCUGCAAGGGAUGGUGAGAAGCACUUCUCUUUAGUUGGAUGCACCUGUGCUCCAGCAUUCCAAUUUGAAGAUUUUGAACUGGCGAAACGUUCUGAGCUUGUUUCGCGUUUUCCUGCUCAUGAAUCCCUUAUCUCUUUGCUCACCUUCCUCGAGUGAACACGCUUAGUCUUAUUUGAAGAUUUUGAACUGGCAAAACGUUCUGAGCUUGUUUCGCGUUUUCCUGCUCAUGAAUCCCUUAUCUCUUUGCUCACCUUCCUCGAGUGAACACGCUUAGUCUUUUGUUUCUUUCACUAGUUUCUUUAAAAGAUCUGUACUUAUAUUGUCUCCAUCAUAUUUGGGCAACCUGGACUUGGAAACAGUUGCUCAUUUCCUGUCUCAUCUUAGUAUUCAAGCUAUUGGUGUGUAAUUUGAUCUGAGUUGCAAUAAAAGAUGAUCAGUGUGCUAUUUAGUUGAAUAAUUUCCUUUUUCAGCAUUGUUAACUGGUAAGGGGCGCUUUGGCAUAAGUGAUAAAGUUGUUGUCAUGUGAUCAAGGGGUCACGAGUUCGAGCCGUGGAAAC